rnacentral:rRNA from 1 species
UCGAACGCGUCUUGGUUAUUGAUUUUAGGUGCUUGCACUUGAAUGAUUUAACAUUGAGACGAGUGGCGAACUGGUGAGUAACACGUGGGUAACCUGCCCUUGAAGUAGGGGAUAACACUUGGAAACAGGUGCUAAUACCGUAUAACAACCAAAACCCCCUGGUUUUGGUUUAAAAGAUGGCUUCGGCUAUCACUUUAGGAUGGACCCGCGGCGUAUUAGCUUGUUGGUAAGGUAACGGCCUACCAAGGCAAUGAUACGUAGCCGACCUGAGAGGGUAAUCGGCCACAUUGGGACUGAGACACGGCCCAAACUCCUACGGGAGGCAGCAGUAGGGAAUCUUCCACAAUGGACGAAAGUCUGAUGGAGCAACGCCGCGUGAGUGAUGAAGGGUUUCGGCUCGUAAAACUCUGUUGUUGGAGAAGAACAGGUGUCAGAGUAACUGUUGACAUCAUGACGGUAUCCAACCAGAAAGCCACGGCUAACUACGUGCCAGCAGCCGCGGUAAUACGUAGGUGGCAAGCGUUGUCCGGAUUUAUUGGGCGUAAAGCGAGCGCAGGCGGUUUCUUAGGUCUGAUGUGAAAGCCUUCGGCUUAACCGGAGAAGUGCAUCGGAAACCAGGAGACUUGAGUGCAGAAGAGGACAGUGGAACUCCAUGUGUAGCGGUGAAAUGCGUAGAUAUAUGGAAGAACACCAGUGGCGAAGGCGGCUGUCUGGUCUGUAACUGACGCUGAGGCUCGAAAGCAUGGGUAGCGAACAGGAUUAGAUACCCUGGUAGUCCAUGCCGUAAACGAUGAGUGCUAAGUGUUGGAGGGUUUCCGCCCUUCAGUGCUGCAGCUAACGCAUUAAGCACUCCGCCUGGGGAGUACGACCGCAAGGUUGAAACUCAAAGGAAUUGACGGGGGCCCGCACAAGCGGUGGAGCAUGUGGUUUAAUUCGAUGCUACGCGAAGAACCUUACCAGGUCUUGACAUCUUCUGCCAACCUAAGAGAUUAGGCGUUCCCUUCGGGGACAGAAUGACAGGUGGUGCAUGGUUGUCGUCAGCUCGUGUCGUGAGAUGUUGGGUUAAGUCCCGCAACGAGCGCAACCCUU